CCGAUCCAGCCGGCUAACAGUCCAAGAUUCGUUAAUUAGUACAUAAUAAUAAAGAAGAAGACAUUUUAAAUGGGUACAACAUUAUUAAUGAUAUAUACCUCGGCGGUAUCUUCCGCCGCGGUAAGGUUUUGCUCAGGCUCUUCAUUCCCAUCAGCGGAUAUGUUGAGGUACGUGUCCGCCAGGUUACUCUCUUCUUCGGUAUACGUUACAUUAUGAUCUCUACUAGCAAUAAUGUCCUCCAGCAUGAACCUUGCAUUCUCGUCGUCC
rnacentral:lncRNA from 1 species